AUGCUGCGAAAUCUUCAAGGGAAGACGUGGCUCCAGGGACCCCCUACUCAGAGGGCGGCCGUGCCGGAUGAAGACUUGCCCGAGCUGGGUGAGCCUGCCUGGGACCCGCCCGCAGCCUCGGGGGCAGCGGGAUGGGGUGGAAGGCGGCGAGACGGAGGCAGCCCGCCCAGGCGCGGGUUUGCGAGCGGGGCCGAGUCUCUGUGCUCCUACGAACAGCAUUUCGGUCCGGGCACCAGGCUCACGGUCAUCGAGGACCUGAGCGAGGUGAAGCCACCCAAGGUCUCUGUGUUUGAGCCAUCGGAAGUGGAGAUCUCCGAGAAGAAAAAGGCCACCCUCGUGUGUCUGGCCAGGGACUUCUACCCCGAUCACGUGGAGCUGAGCUGGUGGGUGAACGGGAAAGAGGUCCGCAGUGGGGUGAGCACAGACCCGCAGCCCCGCAAGGCCGGGCAGAACUCCAGCUACACCCUGAGCAGCCGCCUGAGGGUGUCAGCCGCCUUCUGGCUCAACCCACGCAACCACUUUCGCUGCCAAGUCCAGUUCUACGGGCUCACGGAGGAAGACGAGUGGACCCAGGACUGGGCCAAACCCGUCACUCAGAGCAUCAGCGCCGAGACCUGGGGACGCGCAGACUGUGGCGUCACCUCAGCAUCCUAUCACCAAGGGAUCCUGUCGGCCACCAUCCUCUAUGAGAUCCUGCUGGGGAAGGCCGCUCUGUAUGCUGUGCUGGUCAGCACGCUGGUACUGAUGACCAUGGUCAAGAAGAAGAGCUCCUGAUGCCAGCUCCUCAUCUCCACCCAGGAUCCUCCUCUGUCUGCUCAGUGUGCUAUCCUAGAGAGUUAUCCUCUCCCGACUCCCCCGCCUCAUGGACACCCACACUUCCCACUCCCUUGCACAGGCUGCGCUCCUGACCCCAUCUGAAGUAGUCUAAACCAAUUAAAAAAAAAUGUCAAGCAA